UAAAAGGCACUGUACAAAACCACACCAUUUACACUAUUAGAAAAUCGUAUGGCAAAAUAUUAAGAAAUCAUUUCCCAACUUGAGUUAUAUUAACAUUAAUACAUUGACAUUCAUUAUAGACAUUCCUUGAAAUUCUGAAAAAAACAGCAAAACAGUUUGAGUUUCCUCUUAAAGUUCACAAAGCUUGAGUUCAUUACAGUCACAUAUACAAAUAUACACACUGAUCAGACAGAUCAAUAAUAUACUGUUAUUUCACAGAAACUUGUAUAAAACAGAAAUCUGGUUUUAAACCAACAACAGAGUUAUAUAUUGAGUAGUUUGAGACACAAGAGAUAGUAGAGUAUGUAGUUUAGUGGAGUUCAAAUAAAGCUUGUGUGUUUCAUGAGCAGCACAUGAAAAGUCAAACAAAACUCAAUAGUUUUGUUUUGCUGAAUCAAUAUUAUAUCACUUGUUCAGGACAAUUAAUGUUGCCAUCAUCAUUUUUGAUGCACAGAAACAUCCUUUUCUGGAACCCAAAAGAUUGUUUUUUGCAAAUUAUUGUCAUUAAGAUGAUGAUGAGGAUGAGGAUGACAGAUAAGCCCACAACUGGAGUGAUGACAGCAUCCAUAGAUCCAUCAUUCUUUGAUCCUUUAUCUUCAAGUACAUCUGCUUUGUGUAAUGAUGACUCUGGAAGAUGAAUUUAUGUUUAAUGUUUUAUGAUAGUGUUAAAGUCAUAAACUCAACUUCAGCCUAUCAACCUGCAGACAGUCAGAUUCUCCACACAGACCUUCACAAAACACUUCUGCUCCUGAGAAUCUGAUCAAACUGAUUUCACAGGUAAAUCUACACAUCUCUAUUCUGAUUGUAAUAUCUCGAGAGAUGCAUUACUAUUUAGAAACCAUGAUCAUGCAACAGUUAGGCCAUACACAUGGCAGUAAAUUGCAGUAAUUUUUUUGAAAUAUAAACAGCAUAUGCCAUACCUGAUAUGUCCACAGUGAAUUCUGUUUGUUUCACUCCACACUUUGUUUGCACAAAGAAGCUGAAUUUUUCUGUCAUUGCUGUAGUUGUAGUGUAGCGGCAUGUGAAGCUGUUACUCUGUUCACAGGAGUCAUUAAGAAGCUCUUGUUCACAGAUGACUGAGUCAGUAGGGUAUCGAAACUUACACAUUUUAAUGGAACAAUCAGGGCACUGCAGUGAGAUGUUGCAGGUGAGAGUUACUUCUUUCCCCACAGAUCCAGUCACAUCAUCACAGCUUACACUGAUAUCUGAAAUAUAACAAUGUAUAUCAUAAAAUACAGCAACUGAACAAUAACAUUUUUUAUUUUUUGGCAUCUCAUGAAACUCUUGAACUUAUCUGUGUAACAUUGUUUUAUGUAAAAGAGCACAUUGAUGGGCAUUAAAAAAAUACUGCUUCCUGAACACAAUGUUCUGAAAAUAAUAAACCAUUUCCCC
ensembl:lncRNA